GGUUGGGAAACACCACUACUCAAGGUCCAUGGUGGGGAAACACCACUACUCAAGGUCCAUGGUGGGGAAAUAACUCUACUCAAGGUCCAUGGUGGGGAAACAACUCAACCGAAGGUCCGUGGUGGGGAAACAAUUCAACCGAAGGUCCAUGGUGGGGAAACAACUCAACCGAAGGUCCAUGGUGGGGAAACAACUCAACCGAAGGUCCAUGGUGGGGAAACAACUCUAC
rnacentral:misc_RNA from 1 species